UACGAAGGGUGCAAGCGUUACUCGGAAUUACUGGGCGUAAAGCGUGCGUAGGUGGUGAGUUCAGUCUGUCGUGAAAGCCCCGGGCUCAACCUGGGAAUGGCGAUGGAUACUGGCUCGCUAGAGUGCGGUAGAGGAGAGUGGAAUUCCCGGUGUAGCAGUGAAAUGCGUAGAGAUCGGGAGGAACAUCAGUUGCGAAGGCGGCUCUCUGGACCAGCACUGACACUGAGGCACGAAAGCGUGGGGAGCAAACAGG
rnacentral:rRNA from 1 species